rnacentral:rRNA from 1 species
CUACGGGGGGCAGCAGUGGGGUAUAUUGCACAAUGGAGGAAACUCUGAUGCAGCAACGCCGCGUGGAGGAUGACACUUUUCGGAGCGUAAACUCCUUUUAUAUAGGAAGAAGAUGACGGUACUAUAUGAAUAAGCGCCGGCUAACUCCGUGCCAGCAGCCGCGGUAAUACGGAGGGCGCAAGCGUUACUCGGAAUCACUGGGCGUAAAGAGCGUGUAGGCGGAUUAAAAAGUCAGAAGUGAAAUCCUAUAGCUUAACUAUAGAACUGCUUCUGAAACUCUUAAUCUAGAAUAUGGGAGAGGUAGAUGGAAUUUCUGGUGUAGGGGUAAAAUCCGUAGAGAUCAGAAGGAAUACCGAUCGCGAAGGCGAUCUACUAGAACAUUAUUGACGCUGAGACGCGAAAGCGUGGGGAGCAAACAGGAUUAGAUACCCCGGUAGUC